CUGCCUGGGUUAACCAGGAGGAAGGUGGGGAUGACGUCAAAUCAUCAUGCCCCUUAUGUGUAGGGCUACACACGUGCUACAAUGGCUGGUACAGAGAGAUGCAAUACCGUGAGGUGGAGCCAAACUUAAAAACCAGUCUCAGUUCGGAUUGUAGGCUGAAACUCGCCUACAUGAAGCUGGAGUUACUAGUAAUCGCGAAUCAGAAUGUCGCGGUGAAUACGUUCCCGGGUCUUGUAC
rnacentral:rRNA from 1 species